CGUCGUGUAAUGUCGUAUGUAUGAUAGAGGUGGUGUGGUGAUUGAUCUCCAUGCUAAUGGUUAUCCCCUUUGUUCAACGAAUGAAUGAAGCGUUGAUCAGGAUAGAGAUGAUGGUCUUCGUCUUCUGUCUCCAAGCCGGCCAUACAACAUGGAAAUCAAAUAGAUAGGCGAAGCAACCAAUAGCAGUCUGUUCUCGCCUAUCGAUAGAUAGCAGGUUGCUUCCAAGCUCAAACCAUGAUCAACUGCAUUUUUGCUUGUUGUUAUUAAUGGAGUGGUAUUCUCCCCCCUGUCAAAUAAAAAGAUAACUGGAAGAGAGAAGAAAAGAGCAAACAAAGGAUUUACAAGUCACAUGGGAGAAGAACGUUGAACUGCAUCUUCAACUAUAAAAUAAAACCCCCGGGGCACCGAAGCCUCCCGCGGCAAGCGAGAUAAAGAAAGCAGCUGGACUGCCUUGCCGCGGGAGAGUCUUUCUCCAAUGAGAGAAGGUUUUGGGCAAGACAAAAGACAGGACUCGCCCUUUGACACCAGGGAUAAGAGCAGAUUGCUGGCGAUGACUUGGUGGAAUCCUUGAGAGAAGGUUAUCGAACCUAUAGACUCUACGACUUCGUGGAGACCGAAUAGAGCCCUUUAAGCGAGAGGGCCAUGCUGUUGGCGUCUUACCUACAAGGCAAGAUAAAGGCGGGGGCGGGCGGGAUCAAGCUUGAAAGAAUGGACGGGCCUAGGCUUGAUAGUGAAGGCAGACCCCCUUCAAAAUCAUCGUGUCUGGUGCUAUCUCCUUCAUAAGCUAUGAGGGUUCACCUUUAAUCAAACAUCUACUUGAUUCUCGUAUGGGUUAUCGAGUAAAAACGAAGAAUCAAGCUGAUUGUUGAUUGUUGGAAACUCAUUAUGUGAAUCAAAGCAUUGAAACGAAGAAAAAUAAGUUUCUAGGGUUUAGAAUCAGUAAAUAUUCAAAGCCUUAAACUUUUAGAUGACCCACAUAGCUUAUUUAUAUGUUUAGAAGACUUAGAAGUAGACUAGGAUUGAAAAAGUACUUUUUAAAAACCUGUGUCAUCCUCAGAGACCGGUCCUCUCGAGGAGACCGGUCUGUGAGAGACCGGUCUCUCAAGUGAGGAACCGGUCCCUCGCUGCGUGACCAAAAUCACAACGUUCGGGAACCGGUCUCUUAAGCUUGAGACCGGUCCCUUGCUGCGCGACAGAAAUACCAAGGUUCGGGAACCGGUCUCCCAUCACAGGGGACCGGUUGCAUCAAGGUUCACGCAGUGAGGACCUUAGGGGAACCGGUCUCUUGAACUCUGAGACCGGUCCCAGAACACAGAAAAGUUCAGUAAAGUAGUUUUAACACCAUCUAAGCCUUCUGAACUUAUUCUAACUAGGUAUCUUCACCACAAAUGAUCUUUUCUUCAUACUUUAGGUGUCGAGCUUUCCGAAUGAGUCUUAUUUCUUCAAUUUGAAUCUUUUUUUUCAAAACUUCUGCGAUCAACUCUUCAAGACUCCAACCAACUUUACGAAAUUCGCCAAGCUAUAAAAUCCUUAACAAGGUCCCACAAGGGGGGUGCAGCCUCACCCAUCUUCAAAUGUAGGGUAUUCGUCACCCAGCUCUACUACUCACAGGUACCCCUAUAUAAAUGUUUGCGUCCUUGUGGACUCUUGCGCGACUCGGACAGCACCAUAAAUGCCAAAAUUUUCAUUAAUCUGGGAGGUCGAUGAUAUAAAAUGAGGAUCCCUUUGUGCGUAAGUGCCCUAUAAGCUAUAAGGGUGAGCAAUAUGUAUAAAUAAAAGGAAGGAAGCAUCCAGCAGGAAUCGAACCUACUUGCCCAGGUUAGGCGCUUAAACCAUUCAGCCAUGGAUGCCGAGCCGAGUGAACUAGGUUUUUUUUGUAUUCCUUCUCGAGCUUCUAUUUCUUCCGUUAAGGGAGAUUCGGGAAAAGAUGGAAUAGGAAGACGUGUUUCCAGAACGAACAAGAUACGGGUGGAGAAGGGGAAGUUAGCAAAGUUAGACAAGAUUGGAAUGGGCAUAGGAACAUGUAUUGAUGUACCAGAUCGGCUAAUGCUCCUAGAUUGAUGCGAUGUAUUCCACCAGUUGACUGGAGACUUUAUUAUUGGUAUAUCGAUCGGUCCAGCACGGAUUGAAAUAGGAGCCGAUUCGACAGGAAGCUUUUGAAAACGCAGUGCACCCAGGUAAAUAAGGAACAAGAUGAAUACAGAAGUUAAACGAGCAUCCCACACCCGAAAGGUACCCCACAUAGGCCUUCCCCGAAACCCCCCAGUUACUAAGGUAAACAAAGUAGAAAAAGCACCAAUUUCUGUACCGGUUCCGGAAGAGCGAAGAAAAAGGGGAUGCUUUGUUAAUGGGAACAAGGAACUGUUAAUAGCCGUUGCGAUAUAAAUAACUAUACUCAUCCGAGCCGCAGGAACAUGUACAUACAGAAUACGAGAAUUUCCACCUUGUUGAAGAUCUGGUGGUGCUACCCGAAGACUUAAAUGAAUAGCCAUCGCUGUUAAGAACAACCGAGAUCCAAUGAGAAUUUGCGCGUAGCUUUUUGUCUUUGACAUAAAAAAAGAAGGUUGUAAUAACGAAACAGACAUUUGAUAAUUUUGUCCUUGCCUUGCCAGUGGAACAAGAAAGACUAUAUAGAUUUUGAUAUGAAAUACACAAUCAAAGGAUUUCGCAUUCCAUAGAAUGACAGAAUUUCCCUUGCUUAGUUUUCGCUCUCCCCCUACUAAAAUCCGGAGAAGAACUCCUUCACUAAGGAAUGGAAAUAGAAGGAUGAUUCCUCUGCUCCGCUUACAUCCUUGUAAAGCUUAAGCAAGUACUCUAUUUCGACUUGGUCCACUGUUUGAGAGUAAGCCUCCUCAAGCUCGAACUCGGCCUCAAACUCCUCUCUCCUUUUUUCCAAGAAAGAGAGGAUUGCUUCCUCUGGACUGCUUUCUACGCAGUUCUCCAGUAUAUGGGGAUGACGCUGUACUAAGUCUUUUAGGAUCUUAGUACAGCUUUCCCUCAGCUCCCUUUUCUGGAGAUCUAGGCUCUCGCAGUCCAGCAGAGCGUUAUAUUCACCCUGGGUGGAAGCAGAAUGAAGAGUAUCCUUGACCUCUUUCCAGUUGCCCUCUUCUUUAAGAAGAAGACUGGAUUGGCCAUCCUCCAUACGGAGGAUUCGGUUUAGCGAGUUUUCCAAACUUCGAUUCCUAGAUAAAUUAUUGGGUUCCCUAGGCGGCUCCGGAGCAGCCUGAGCUUCCCCCUCUUGGGGAUCAGGUACCUGCUCUAAAGCAGCCCCAAUAAAGGGGGCAACCAUGUCCCAUAAUUCGUUCAUGAUCACUCUUGAUAAAUUUGGAGAAUGAGCACUGUGAACUAUCCGCUCAAACAGGGAUAGUUGAUCGAACCGAAACCUACGUAAAUAAAGUAGGACUAAAGACGCAUAGGAGUAAAUGAGCUUCUCCUCUAUCGUAAUGCGGUAUUUCUAUUUUUCUUCUUUAUUGGUGUUUUGGCUCGCAAUAAGGCUAGGUCCUGAUCGAGCAAGACGGAGUCCUAUCUAUCUACCUCUCCAGACACAAUAUCUUGAGUACCUAUGAUGGUGACUACAUCUGCUGGCAUGUGAUGUUUGGACAUAGAAUCGAGUCCUUGUGAAUGGGCAAAGCCAGGUGCUCUUAUUUUACGACGGUAGAGACGAUUGCUUCCAUUACUGACAAGAAAGACACCAAAUUCUCCUUUAGGAGCUUCAACUGCGGUAUAGGUAGAAGGAGCUGGUACGGAAAAACCUUCUGUAUAAGGUUCGAAAUGGUGAAUUGAGGUAGAGUAGACCGAUGAUCCGGUAGUUAUUUGGCCGGCUAUGGAAAGAAAAAGCUAGCAUCUGCUCCCCCUAAACUAUAACCGGUCCCAUCUCUCUCCAAACCUAACGUGGUAGUUUCCCAUCAUAGGGCUUUCUAUCUAUAGAUUGAGCCAUUACCCACCAAGGAUCCCAUUCGUUCAGAACUCACUCAGUUGACUGCUUCUAUAGAUAAGGCGGAGCGUCCUUGGUUCAGCAUUAUAGCACAUAGGCUUCGGCGCUACUACAGCGCUUCACUAACUCGAAGCGCCUCGCUAUGAGAAUGAGGCUUCGCUAACGCUCGGCUAAGUCGUCGAACCCUCGCGCUGACUGUUCGCUUUUUCAGUAGUGAAAGCGCUUCUCUUUGCCCCAACACUAAAAAAAAAAAAGUAUUUGGAAAAGAAAGAGAAACUAGGUUUUCUUGCUCCCGCUUCCUCAUCUGCGCUCGUCAAGCCAACUUAGCUUUUUGGGAGGUGAAAGAGCGGUUGAAGCGGACAUUUCGAAAUGACAGCAUCGAAGAUAUCUAUAUACACGGUCACGGUUAUUCCGGACUGCGUUCCGGAGAAAGUAGCCUACUUGACAGACAGGGCGGGCACUCUCGGCUCAGAGGUAGGCACUCUCGUCUUUCAACCCCACCUUACUUUGCAUUUUUUUUUUUGCACUGUUUACUUACAGCCUCUACGAGUUGCAAGUGAAUGGGGCCGGUGCGUGGCGAACAGAAGUGUUCAUCAAGCCAUUUCUCGCCUCAACCCCUAAACACUUUAGGAAGAGGGCUACUUGCUAAUUUGGGGGCAACUGCAUCGCACCUGACUGUGAGGGACCUCUCGAUACCUUAUGUUCACUUUCUAACUAGUAGCCGCUUUCCCGUCGCGGAAGACUUUUCCCAGUGCGCGGAGCCCCAACGAGGAAGGUGUUAGUGCUUUCUCAUGGGGUCAAUAAUGCUAAUCCCUCUUUUUGUGCUACUCCUACGGGAAGAAGAUAAGAAAAGGCGAAGCCUUCUCUUGGUUUCCCAACCUGUUGCUGCUAAAGGCUGCCCUCUCUCGGCUGGAUUUUGGUCCAGCCUACUAUGAGGAUCCUGUAUCCCGUACAUCGUCUUUCUCCCUCCUGGGUUCCCGUGGUUCCUAUGCCGCCGCCUUUCCCGGUCCUUUUCUUUUAGUGCUUCGACCCGAAGCGAUAGCUUGACGCGUUUUCAGUGGAUAAGAUGGCUGCGCUCCAGCUCACUAAAGAAUGGGACGGCAGUGGUCCGCCGGCAAGCUCGUUCUGAUCUUGGACGCAGUACAUUGGAAUCCUGAAGCACCACCACGAACGCUACCGCGCAUGCGCCUGCGGUGUGGGGUAAGGCACCACCCUGUUGUGCCAGCAGCCAACUCCGGCGUGUCAGCUUAGUUAUCCUCAUCAAGCCACAACCUUGAUGUCUAGCUUCCCAACUGGUAGACGGUUCCCUUUCCCCCAAAUCAAUGAAGAAGGGAGAAGUCAGUUGAUUCUUCCGAAGAACCGGAAGCGAAGCGCUAUGCCGGGGCGAGGGGACGGGAAAAGAAACUGCUCCGAAGAAAGAUAUUGGGGUUCCCAAUGCUUCUCCACGCCCAACGAGAUGCACCAACCUCGGGAUGCUUUACUCCUAACCCCACGACGGUUCCGAGACGGAGCUUAACCUGAGUCUCGGUUAAGAACGGCGAUUGUUAAGGAUUUUGUAUUGGCAAGUUUCGUGAAGUGAGUCGGAGUCUUGAAGAAUCGAAGCGAAUUGACAAGAUUUUGGAAAAAAUCAGAAAAUACCUCACGACGUGAAUCACGAUGGUCAGGUAAAGUUUUAAUUCAUGUUAUGGUGAUUCAUACUUAGUUAUAGGCAUUAGAAUCAUUUAAUCAAAAGUUUAGUUGAUUAGAAAGUGCUUCGGAAGUGUACGGAACUCGAAACAAUGCAAAAUCCAAAAAAUUGCAUUGUGUACCGGUACAGCAAUCAAGCCCGUACCGGUACAGCCACUGACUUGGCUUCGUAUUUCUGUUCCGUCCUUGUGUAACCGGUGACAGCUUUUCGUGUACCGGUACACAGUGUAAAAUCGUGAAAUCGUUCUAAUCCGACUCCAAUUUAUUCUAAAGUCUAUAAAUAAGCUAUUGGGCUUCUCUAACAGAAGUAGUAUCACGAAAAUACAUAUUUGAGAAACCCUAGAGGCUCGGAUUUCAUCUAAAACCUAUUUUCUACAAAAAGCCUCUUUUAGAUCAAAUCGAGAUAUUGAAAUUUGAUAUUAAUAUGUCGAUUUGAUCUCCGCUUCGCUUGGAGUUUCUUUCCCUGGUUUUCUACGAUACUCCAAAGCGAAGGAUCACCAUAUUCAUGAUAUUCUUCAUGGUGGCGUCGUGGAUUCGGCGUGUUUGACGGCGGUUCGUGGAUUCGAGUGGCGUCGUGGAUUCGGCGUGAUUGAAGCUUCGUGGAUUCGAAGUGGAGGCGUUCGUGGAUUCGGACGUGAGGGCGUGGACAACCCAGAGGAUUGCGCGAGAUCCAUAGGAGGUCAAGAGAGGUUGAGUCCGUAGAGUCGGUAAAUCACCUUGUAAUCUUUUCUCUUAGUGGAUUAUUUUUUUUCGCGUGUUGAUCCCGUGGGUUUUUCUCCAAAUUGGAGUUUUCCCACGUAAAUCUCGGUGUGCUUUUUAUUUUUCGCAUUUAUUUUUAUUGCAUCGAGAUUUGUGGUUUUUGGCCAUUACACCUAUUCACCCCCCCUCUAGGUGAUAGAUACAAUCUAGAUAGAUCCUUGGGCUCCUCAAAACUUUCAGCGAUGAUCUACGUUUCACACGGUGCACGAUUCCAUGGAUAAUUUCAUUCGAGAUCGUGAUAGAGGACAUAGCUUACGAUCAUCGGCUUUGAUCAUGCCACUAGGCAUUUGAUUAGGACAUUGCACAAUGAUCCGAACACUUUGUCGCAUCUCUUCGAUACGGAUACAGUAACGAUCAUAGCGAUCUCCUCUGGUACCUACUGGUACGUCAGGAUCCGAUUGGUCAUGAACAUCGUAANUUUUUUUUUUUUAAGGAAAAACUCGAGGUCUGGCGCUUAUUACCAUAGUCGCAGCAUAGAAAAGUCAGGUGCCUGAUGAAAUAGUCUAUGAAAGGGGAUGUCACCUGAAAGAACUGAAGACUGCCUCCAUGCAGAGAAGAGAGAAGUCGGUUCUCCCCCCGCUUCGCUCUCCCCCUCGUGGGGAAUUGAGUAGUUUUUAGAGUAGAGUCGAGGAGAUGACGAAGAGCUGAAGAAGAGAAAGUUUACAUUGCGACGAAAGGAGGUCUCGCUUCGACGUUCUCGCGGGGGUUCUUUCUCUUUCUCUCCGCCUUCAAACGAUUGGUUUCGUUUAUUCUCUCCAACAACUCAUGGAGUAUGGAUCCCUCUCAUUGCUUCUAAUUCUCUCUCUUUUCCUACCUUCAGCAAACUGGGGUACAAGGGUUCUAUCAUUAGGUGUGGGCGCUGAUGAACCAUUUGAUGAGCUUAUGGUUUUGCCUUCCUGAAUACAGGAUAGCCCUCGAAUGGAAGAGAACUUUUAGAAGCGCUCUUGAGGUCUGAUGUGGACCCCCUCUUAAGUAAGCUGUUUCCGAAUCAACAAAAUCUCUAUGCUUAACAUAGACGAAUAAGGAUGGGUUCCGCUGGGCUAGAUCGUGAGCUAUAUGCUUAUAACAUCCGAUCGAGGACCAAUCACACAAAGAAAAAAAUGGGAUUACCUGUCUUUCCCCUCUCUUGUCAACUGCAUACUGCAUGGAGUCUUCCCCGGAAAAAAGGCGAGGCUGUCGAUAUGCUAUUCACAGCCUGAGAGUGAGCAGAGAAUAGUCUUUUUAUUUACUUUAUUUGACCUUUUUUACCUUCAUGUGGCAAACUGGGGAACUUAGGUUCUCAAACUUUACUUUAUUUUCUUGCGCGACGAGAUACUGAUAAAGUAUCAGUAGCCCGUUUUCGCUUAGGAAGACAAAGCAGUGUCAAGCCGAGGGACGAGGUCGCGAUGGAGAAGCUGCUCCCGUAAAGGCUCAAACUCUGGGCGCAGGCGCAUCAGGAGCAGAUAUAGGCGCUGGCGAUCACGGAACUGCUGAUAUGUCUUAGCAACUGAGGAGGGAAGCUGGAGGCGGAGGCGAAGAUGAGACUGCAAAAGGAAAGCAUUUCUCGCCAUGUGGUUUUUGACGAGAAAUGUAAAGGCGACCGGUUAGAGGAUCUGAAAGAGAGAGUGUAAGAAAAUUGAGCGAGGGAUCGAGUGGUGCGGGAACUCCGGAUACUGCUAAAUAGUGGUUUCAGUCUCCACAGAAAGGAAUCAAUUGUUAAGAAAGCAUCUCUGGGCCUGGGCUUGGAUCAAGCAAGCUCAUAAUUUUCUUAUAUGCAGGGAGAGAUUGAAAAACUGCAGACGGAGCAUUUGAACGGUGGUAACCAUAAGCAGUUUCCCUUCAACACAAAAGAGGAAAAGGCACGGCUCUUCCGCGCUGUAUGGGAUUUCAAAGGGGGAGGGGGUAGGUAAAUGAGAAAGGUAGAGUAAGAUAUUUUCAUUCUAACAGAAUGAGCGGAUCCAAUACACAUAUUGUCUUUGACANCAGCAGCCCUACUCUCUCUCUCUUUCUAUAUAUAUAUGUGUAUAAAUAUAUAUAAUUCAGCUAAUAUACUAUCUGUAGCAUGGAGGCCUCUUGUGCUACCAAGCUGUUUCGAUAAUGCAGCUUCUGAAUCGACGAUCGACUUUGUUAGCUUUGAUGUACACUAUCAGAAGUAUAUAGAAACCACAUUUUACGAUUUUUCGACAUCAUUUAUCUGUCUAGGGGUACUGAUUUUUCGACGUCAUUUAUCGAAAAAGUAGUCUAAAAAUUAAUGUAUAUAUAGUCUGGCUACUAUGCUAUUAAUAGCACGAAGCACUUGGUGCUACCAAGUUUUCCACCGUUAGAUCUACCAUUUUCAUCAUUUUCACCGUUAGAUCAUACUAUUCAACUAAUCACCCACUCAACCCUAAGGGGCCCACAUCAUCCUAACCACACAUCUCUUAAUCCAAUGGUCAAAAACUUGGUAGCACCAAUGACUUGGUGCUAUUAAUAGCAUAAUAGCCUAGUUCUAUAUAUAUAUAUAUAUAUAUAUAUAGUGGCUUCCUUUUUCUUUUUUUUUCGACGUCAUAUCUAUUCGUUGUAAUGAUUCAUCUUCUUUUUCCCCGCGUUCUCUGUUGAUUUUGUGUUUCAUUAUUGUUAAAUUGCGUACAAAUUUUCUAUAGUUUUCUGCAUUGCAAGUAUUCAAUACAUUUUUUUUAUUUAUUUUUAAUUUUUCAGUGUAGUAAUGGCAGCUCUAUUNAUUAAUUAUUAGUAAUUUAAUGUGUUGGUAUGUAAGUGUACUCGCAUUUUCUAUGUAUAUUUAGUAUUAAUUUGUUAUAAAAUAAUUUGUAUAGUUAUAUUUAUUGUGUUAUUUUUCUAAUACCUUAAUGGUCCUUUUUUCUGAGAAUUGAGCCAAAUUUGGCGGCUAUAUGCAUGAUGCCGUUUAUGCUGGGAGUGUGCUUCCUCUGCCCCUUAAUGGACUGCCUCUAGUACAAAUACCAUUACUGCCCUAAUUGCGGCGAAAAGGUAUUAUCUUUCCGUCCUACCUUCUUUUUCUAAGUAUACUCACUACGGAAAUAAAUAUUAUUCAAAAAUAUUAAUGAAUAAUAAAAAAAAUAAUAUUAAUAGUUUUAAUAAUUGACUAUUGUAUCAACUUUCCGCCGCAACGCGCGGGGUUCCUUAACUAGUAUUAAGUAUUAAUGCGAAUCCGGAGAAAGCUCCCUCCACGUUUUGGGGUUGUUGGGCCCGCUUGGUACGAAUUCUCUUUAAGCGCAUUAAUGAGGGUUUANAACAAAGUGGAAGCACGGAGGCCUCCGUGCUUACGAAAGCACCCCAGCCCACUCUAUAUAUAUAUAUAUAUAUAUAUAGAGAGAGAGAGAGAGAGAGAGAGAGAGAGAGUCCGGCUAUUAUGCUAUUAAUAGCAUGAAGCACUUGGUGCUACCAAGUUUUCCACCGUUAAAUCUACCAUUUUGAUCAUUUUCAUCCGUUAGAUCAUACUAUUCAACUAACCACCCACUCAAUUCUAAGGGGCCCACAUCAUCCUAACCACACAUCUCUUAAUCCAAUGGUCAAAAACUUGGUAGCACCAAUGACUUGGUGCUAUUAAUAGCAUAGUAGCCUAGUUCUAUAUAUAUAUAUAUAUAUAUAUNNNNNNNNNNNNNNNNNNNNNNNAUAUAUAGUGGCUUCCUUUUUCUUUUUUUUUCGACGUCAUAUCUAUUCGUUGUAAUGAUUCAUCUUCUUUUUCCCCGCGUUCUCUGUUGAUUUUGUGUUUCAUUAUUGUUAAAUUGCGUACAAAUUUUCUAUAGUUUUCUGCAUUGCAAGUAUUCAAUACAUUUUUUUUAUUUAUUUUUAAUUUUUCAGUGUAGUAAUGGCAGCUCUAUUUGGUUAAAUUUAUUUUUGACAAAUAUAGCGUGACAUCUACCAGCAUUUUUCUGUCUACACAGGCAUAUAGUAUUUCGAUUGAAAAUGAAGGGCUUGUUAGUAUUUACAUUAAUGUUAAAGUCUUCAUAGGAGAUUCUGAUACAAAGGUAAUUAGGUGUUGGCGUGCACCCUCCAAUGUUGAUGAGACAGAAGAGGACGUUGCACACCACGCUUUUGCCAAGUCACGUGAUGAGUUCACCUUUGAGCUGAAGGAUGUUAAUCUAGAAGAUAAAAGCUUUAUGAGAAUCUAUAUGAGCGAGUUUUUGUGCACUACAGUGAUCUCGGCAAUAAAUAUAAGUUCUUUGGAGGUGACUUAUGCAUUUUAAAGGUUGCUACAAUAAUCUAUUUACCGAGAAAGACUAGUAUGCUUCUGAACGAAGAAAAAUAAAAGAAAAUUUGAAAAAGUAUUUCUAUCUAAUCAAAGGGCCCUAGGCUGUUGCACUUGGACCAAGUAGUAGCGAGGGAAUUUCUGAGGAAGACCCUACAGUGCCGUUGGGGUAAUAUGAGGAUUGACGGAUUGUCGAAGCUGGCUUCCUUUUGUCGUACUUUUUAAUUUAAUUUUUUCUAUUUUUUAUAUUGUUAUUAUGUUUAGGUCUCUUGAUAUUUCUCUUUCUCUCUCUCUCUCUCUCUCUCUCUCUCUCUCUCUCUCUCUCUCUUCUUUUUUUUUAUUUUUUAUUUUUUUUUUUUUGAGAUCCUGCUUGUAUGGCUUAUGGCCUGACUAUAGUAUUUUUUUGGGAUAAUUUCAUAGAUGCCCCUCUAGAAACUAUUAAUUUCAUCAAUACCCUUCCAAAAUUAGUAAUAUCACAAAUGCCCUUCAAAAUGUGAAAAAUUAUCAUAAAUACCCUCCUCUAGUUAAGACCCGUUAAAGCCCAUUUGAAUCGGAGUUAAAAUUUUAAAAUACCAUUUUUACCCUUUAUCUCUUUUUAAUAGUAGAAAUACUAAUAGGUAUUUCAAAAUAAUUUUUGUAAAUCUAAAUUUGAGUAUUUAAUAUAUAAAUAGUUAAUUAAAUUAUUAAUAUAUAUUAAUUAAUAAAAAAUAUAUAAAAAUUGUAUUUUAAAUAUAGUAUGUUUUUAUCUGAUUUUGGUUUUGUUUUUGGUUUUGGGUUUCGGUUCAGAUUCGGUUUAAAUAUAGACCAAAACUAUAUAACUGAAUUUACAUACGACGGGAUUUUAUUUUUUGGUAUCUAUAACUAAAACUAUCCCCUAUUCAGCAUUGAUUAAACUUAUCCCAUUUUAAAUCGAGUUUAGAUAAAAUUCCGUAUCUAUAUCAAUUCACAUUCCUAAUUAGUAAUAGUAAUUUUGAAAUAAAUUAUAGAUUUUAUUUUUUUCCUAUUUAAAAAUAAAUCACAUAAUUGUUUUGUCGAUUGAAAUAAAAAGAGAGUUUUGUUCAAAAGCUAAAAUAUAUUAUAUUUCAGUUUUUUAAUACACUUAAUGCAGAUAAAAUUAUCGAGAAUAAUUUUGAUUAAAAAAAUUUUUAAGUUUUCAAGAUUAAAGAAAGAUCGGAUAAUUCCUUAACAUUAUUUUCAUUUAAAUUUUUAUAUAUAGUUAUUUAUUUGAUAAAAAAUAAAUAGAAUCAUUAGAUUUGGUAAAAUCAUAAAAAAAAACUAAAAUUUUUUUUUUUUUUUAUACACUGAAAUUAGGUUUUUUUUAAAAUAAAAAGUUAAUGGGAUAUCAACUAAAAAAUGAAAGUUGAGGGAGCUGUUUCAAAAUUGCAUAUAGUUGAGGGGGUUUCCAUAUAUUUUUAGUUAAAAGAUAUUUGAGGGUAAAUAAGUCAUUUUAUAAAUUAACCUAUCUUUAACCAUGUAAUAACUAUAGUAAAACUAACAUAACUAACAGUAGGGGUAUUAAUGCUAAUUUUUUGUGUUUACAGGGGUAUUGAUGAUAUUUUAAACUUUAUAGGGGCAUCUAUGAUAUUUUAAACUUUGGGAGGGGUAUCCAUGAAAUUGCCCCUAUUUUUUUCUACUCCUUUUCCUAUUUUCCUCUUUAGUCUCUUGCUCAUGUUCGAUGUAAGCAUCAUCUUUUCCCGUGGAAGCGCUUGCUAAUUUUUGGUUAUGAUUGUUAUAUUAGAGCUAGGCUGGUAUAUUAUUGGUAGUACGGAGGCCUUCAUGCUACCAAGUUAUUUUCAAUGAUGCGACUUUCAAAUCGAUGAUCGGCUCCGUUAGACUUGAUCUACACUAUUAAAAGUAUUUGGAAAUUAAAUUUCAUAAUUUUUCGACAUUAUUUGGCUAGUGAUCAAAAGGUCUCAAAAUUGACAAUUUUAAUGGUAGAUGUGAUGCGUUUGUAAAUUUAAUGGUGUAAAAUAAUCAAAAUCUAAUGAAAUUUUUAUGGAAAUUUCUUUUCACUAUUUAGAGUAAGAUCAGUAUCUCUUAUCUUAAAUUUAAAUAUUUUAUCAUCAUUUUUAUGAGAUUUUUAUUUUCAGCCAUUCAUUUUUCGACUACUCGUUUGAUAGGUAAAUGAUGUCGAAAAAUUAAGAAAUUUAGUUUCCAAAUACUUUCAAUAGUGUAGAUCAAGUUUAAUAGAGCCGACCGUCGAUUUGGAAACUAUAUCAUUGAAAACAACUUGUUAGCACGAAGGCAUCCGUGCUAUCGAUAGUAUACCAGGCUAGCUUGUUAUAUUAUGUGUUUAUAUAUCCACAGGUUUUUUUUUUUUUUUUUUCCUGUGCCUCCCUUUCGUAUUUAGGGUUUGCGUAUAUACUUUUGCGUUUUGCUCUAUAUGCUGUUUUCAGUUCAAAUAUUGUUGCUUAUCUUUAUGUUUAUAGUGCUCUGUUAUAGAUAUUUAUAUUCUGUAUUCUGAACAUUCAAACAACAAGAGAUCAGAAAAUUAUCCUUGUUGUUUUUAAGCACGUGCACUUUCAGAAGAUUAAGAAGUUAAAGACAUAAUUAUAUGGAAAUAACAAGAAUUGCUAGUGAUUUAGUAAAUAUUAAUAUAAUUUAAGAAUUUGAAUGCCCAUCAUGUUAUGAUGCUUAUACCAAUCAUAAACUUAAUAUAUGAUCUGAUCAUUUAAUAUAUUAUCUUAUCAUCAUACCAAAUAUUUUUAUUAACUGUCCAAAAUUAGAAAGCUAGUAAAACUCAGGCACAAGCAUUUAUAUUUAAGAGGAAACUUCAGAUAUCUGCUAUGGUUUAUUCUUGUAGUUUUUAUUUUCACUUUUCAUUAGCAUUACCAUUAUCUCAUCUAUUAAAACUAUCACAUGCUGCACACGUGUAUUGGAGGUGUUCCGAAAAGGUUGAUACGAAAGUUCCGAAAAAUCAAUAAGAAAGUCAUAAGUCAUCAUAGGACUUAACCGGAAUGUUUUUGGAGUCCCCAAUAGCAAAAAAAAUAACGAUCUACCAUGCAUGUGCACGACACGUGACAAUUAUAACGAAAAAAUGGUGAUAGUGCUAAUAACAAGCAUAACCAGAAACUGUAAAAAUACUUAAGUGAACCUCCGGACACAAAUGAAAAACAGUAAACUACAUACAUGGUAUCUAAGAUUUUUCUUAAAUUUAAUAACACUGUAAGUAAUCCACUUUUGACAGUAAAAUAAUUAUUGGUUACUAGUAAUCCGUGUCGCUCUCACUAUAGUCCAUAUUAUAUAUGGAUAUGAUAUCAGUACAUCAUUUGUCUUUCUUACAAUACGACGACUAGGACUAGAAUGUUCUUAUGAUUACAUAAGAAUAUGUAACAUUAAGAAUAUGUAUGCCAUACACCUCGCUGGGAUUGUAGUUCAAUUGGUCAGAGCACCGCCCUGUCAAGGCGGAAGUUGCGGGUUCGAGCCCCGUCAGUCCCGAACUAGGAUCCGGUGAAUUUAUCAAUUCAUCUCUCUCUUUUCACGGAAAAGGGGGACAGGAAGCAAGAUCUAAUCCCCAGUGGGGAGGGAUCCUUAUUUCUUUUGUUUUUUAUUUCGCAUUUAUCAUCACACAAAUACGGAUACGGGAAUUUCAAAUCUUUCCACUACUCCCGAUUGAUAAAGGAGAGACAUAUCAUAUGUACAUUAGUACAAUCGGUGGUAUUACUAUAUUCAGUAUUUUAAGAGAUACCAUCCUCGUCUUACUUUCUUUUUCGAUUGUUCUUGAUCCAUGAAAUAGAGUAGAGUUAUUUUAUCGGGAGUACAUACACAAAUUCUAUUCGUUUAUUGUAUGAUGGACAAUGAACUUAACAUAAUUAUCUCGACAAAGUACUUUUCAGAUUAAACCAUACUUUUCUAAUUAUGACUUUGUUUGUGUAUCCUCAAUGACUAAUUGUAAACAAUCUAUCUCAUUCUCAUUCAAAUUGCAGACAUCAUUUUUGAUGUACGCGUUUCAGUGCAAAAGAAAAGAAAAAAGCAAGCGAGGACUCUUUUUAGAAAGAGUCAACUCUUUCUUAUAUUUCUAAGGAUCUAGUUCAUGAUACUUUACUUAAUUAAGUAAAGUAUCAUGAAAAGCAAACAAAAAAGUUUAGCUCUUUUUUCUCAUUGAAAGAUUGGUUAUCCACUUUUGACCGUAAAAAAAUUAUUGGUUACUAGUAAUCCGUGUUGCUCUAAAUAUCGAUGUUUUUUCGAAAUGUAAUGAAUAGAAGAGCAACCGAUAAUCCACAUAAAAGAACUGCACAGCUCAAUAACAUCAUACUUACGUGCAUCAUUAACCACUGAGAUUGUAGAGCAGGUACUAAUAUUGCAGAUUGAUGCAUUUCAGUUGAAAGACCCGACAUGGCAAAGCCUUGAGUAAAAAUGGUACUUGGUGCAAUUAUUGUGUCUAAAUCAUUUUGAAGGUUACGUAUCUUAGGAAUCAUAUGAAUAAUGAAGAAACUAUAUGAAAGAAAGAUUGAUGACUCCCAUAAAUUACUUAAUGAAAAAUACCCUGAAGAAAUCCAACGAUGAACUAAUAAUCCUGUUAUAGAGAAAAAAGUAGCUAUCAUCCCUUUUUCUGACCAACCACAUAAUCCUACAAUUUUGUGGACUAAUAAGGUCAUCACAUAAAUCAUAAUCACAAUUGAAAUGAUCGACAAAGAGAUAAAGAGAUACUGAGUUACUAUAUACUAGAUGGACAUGAGAACACCAAAUUGCCGGCAAAACAAGAAACCACACUAGGACUCGGCACAAGUUGCCAAAAAGCACUUUUUUUUUUUUUUUCAUUAUGAUUAAAAUAAUAUGCCUAUAUACAAAGGAAUUGCUCAAAACUCGAAAGGGAAUGAGCGUCUCACUUACAUCGUGAACCAAAACUGUUUUUGUAAUUUAUAUAGGACAUUAGCAUGCUACAGUAUAUAAAGACCGAGUAGUAUUGAGUAUCGAGUCAACCAGCUGCCGUUCAAUUAGAGUACAACUUCCAAACUUUCAGCUCACCGGCUCCAUCUCCUGUAAAAAAGAGACCACCAGGGCCGAUCUCUAAAGUCCUCACUUCCUCCUUGGAAAAAAUCCUCCCUCUUUCAUUGAAUCUGGGAAAUAUAAAGUGCACACGGUAAAACAGGGAAACAACAUUUCAUAGGAUAAUACAAAGCAAGAGUAAGUUACUUUAGUUAUAUGACACACUUACGAUGGUAGGUCGUAGACACGCACAACAUUGUCGUUGCAUGAGCACAUGAGCACCGGACUGGCUUUAGCAUCAUUCACUCCGUGCAGCACAAGCACUCCCUGCAGCAAUUAACAAUAGAUGACAUUAAUGAAAGUAGGGUUAGGUAGAGCUCAAGGACGUAGCUUGCAUAAGCGCGCGUCAUACAAUACAUCAGUUCAACACUACGUAAUUAUAUGGUUCUAUUGAGUAAAAUAAGCAAAAAUAAUCACUUGACUCGUUGAAUAAAUGGAAAUCUCCACCAGUAUUACACCAUGAAAUUGUUCUAAGCACACUAUCUACAUGACAGAAGACACAUUAUUGAAGAAAAGAUCCAAAGUAGAAGAGCAGUUUGCUAGAUGAAUAAGGCCCACUAGUACAGCAGUGCCAAAAUGAUUGAUGUAAAAAUAGGAAAGUUUGAUAUCAAAUCAGAUGCACAAAAUGAAAUGCUUCAGUAUACACUAUGUACAAUGAGAUUAAGUUCCAACUCUAGUAGCAUCAUGCAAAGUUGCCAUCAAAGAGCACAAGACAAUCACAAAAAUAAAGAAAUACAAAUUUAGCGUUUGAGGUCUCGUAAUUGAUUAGGCCAAGAAAGAUGAAGAAGAUUCCGAAUUUUUUAUGACACCACAUGCAAAAGGUAAUCAUUAGAAUUAUAAGCAGCCUACUGAAAAGCAAGACUACUAAAACUUAUAGGUAGGCUAAGUUCUUACAUGCUCUUCCUUGUGGGUAUACUCUACUUCUAUCCCAUUGUUUUCUGCAGCAGCCCAGACCUGCAAAAGACAAAGCAGUAAGAACACACAAUAAAAACGGCAAUUCAAAUGAGAUGUGUUCAAAGUACAAAAAAUUCGGACCUUCACCGUUCCAUCCAAGGAGCAAGAGAACAAAAACUGGUCCCAGCAUAACAGUGACAUAACAACUGAUUCAUGGCCUGUAAGGGUGUGCGUGCACUGGAGAGUUGCAAAGUCCCAAACCUGAAAGAAAAUCCUAAAAGUUAGAUCAUCUCAAUUCCUUUGAUAUUAGUAAAACAAAGAACUCAAAAUAUAGACUGAAAUCCCACAUUCUAUGUAAAUUCUACAAUUUACAAGAGAUACAGAAUCAAAGGCCCAGGUGAAAUAAACUAGUAGGAAUUUUCACACAUCUUUGCAGUCAAGAAUUAUCAAAAAAAAACUCAAUAUUUAUAAUGUUAGUCCUGUCUCACACUUGUAUAGAGCUUCAAUUGAUUAUAUAAUAAUGUGAAAUUCAACUCUAGUGAAGCCUUGGAUGCUAGCUAUGUAGAUGAAAAAGUUUUAACAGGACAAUCUACAUAAAAAACUUCCCUCUUGUGCCAAGCAAUCUAAGGCACAUUCUACGUAAAUGCUACAAUUUACAAAAGAUCCAGAAUCUAAGGCUGUAAGGCGCAUAUAAAAUAAACUAGUGAGAAUUUUCGGAGAUCUUUCCAGUCAAGUAACUUUCUAAAACUUUAAUAUUUAUAAUGUUAGUCCUAUCUACACUUGUAGAGAGCUUCAAUUGAUUAUAGGCUGGAAAAUUCAAAUCUGGUGAAGCCUUGGAUGUUAGCGUUGUUGCUAAAAGAGUUUAACCGAACAAUAUACAAAAAAAACUUUCCUCGUGCCAAGCAAUCCAAUCUUAAAACAGCUGAUAUUAUAGGAGCUUACAAAGUUGUGAAAUUUAAUACUGGAUCUGGAUGUGAUGAGUCGAAUCAGCAGAAACCAUUUCCCAAACAUCAAUUGGUCAUACUAUACAUAGACAAGUCUUGACGACCAAGAUAAAUAUCAACCAAGACCUAGUAUUUAAAAGGUAAGAAAAGGCUGAUGACUGAAUUAUUUGAAGAUCUGAAACAUUUCACUCUAGAUGUGUUAUUCACCUACAUAUGAAAUCGACAACAUAUAAGCUAAAUGAGAUAAAUGUAUUGAAAGUUGAAACGAAUUCGCACACAUGAUUCAUAGGGCCAUUAAGGAAUAUCAGAAGAUAAAUACUGCUUCAGCAUAAAAGGAUAUAAUUAUUCAUGAUCAAUUCUAUUCAGCAUAACUUCCUAGGAUUUUUUAAGCACAUGCACAAGCAAGCAUCUUUUCGUUUGGAGGAUUGAUGGGAUUAUUC
rnacentral:lncRNA from 1 species